rnacentral:rRNA from 1 species
UACAACGAAACUGCGAAUGGCUCGGUAAAACAGCAAUAAUUUAUUCGGGGGUAAUUGCUACUUGGAUAACCGUAGUAAAGCUAGAGCUAAUACGUGCUACAAAGGCGAGACUCGCUCUCGUGGUACUAAGUAUUAGGUACAACCCAAUUUUAUUGGUGAUUCAUACUUAUCUUCUGAUCGCACUCUGUGCGACGCCCCGAAUAAAUUUCUGACCUAUCAACUUCGAUGGUAAGGUAGUGUCUUACCAUGGUUGUGACGGGUAACGGACCGUGGGUGCGGGAUUCCGGAGAGGGAGCCUGAGAAACGGCUACCACAUCCAAGGAAGGCAGCAGGCGCGCAACUUACCCAAUCCGAACUUCGGGAGGUAGUGACAAAAAAUAUCAAUAGGGGGACCGAUGGUCUUCCUAAUUGGAAUGAAAACAAUCUAAAUACAUUAUUUAGGAACCAGCAGAGGGCAAGUCUGGUGCCAGCAGCCGCGGUAAUUCCAGCUCUGUAAGCGUAUACCAAAGUUGUUGCAGUUAAAACGCUCGUAGUCGAACCUUGGCGUGAGUUACGGAGGCUCCUAAUGGAUGUUGAAGUAACUCCGCCUUUGUGGAGGGGGGUGUGGUGUUACUUAAUUGUAUUGCCGCAUUUCCGCCACUGUUUACUGUGAAAAAAUUAGAGUGUUCAAAGCGAGCGUUUGCCAUGAAUACAUUAGCAUGGAAUAAUAGAAUAGGACCUGGUCCUGUUUUAUUGGUUUGUCUGUAUCAGGUAAUGAUUAACAGGGACGGUCGGGGGCAUUUGUAUUCCAGCGUUAGAGGUGAAAUUCUUGGAUCGCUGGAAGACAAACAGCUGCGAAAGCGUCUGCCAAGGACGUUUUCAUUGAUCAAGAACGAAAGUAAGGGGAUCGAAGACGAUCAGAUACCGUCGUAGUCUUUACUAUAAACUAUGAUGACUAAGGAUCAGCCGUGGCCUAAUGGUACGGUUGGCACUUUCCGGGAAACCAAAGUAUUUGAUUUCUGGGGGGAGUAUGGUCGCAAGUCUGAAACUUAAAGGAAUUGACGGAAGGGCAUCACCGGGUGUGGAGCCUGCGGCUUAAUUUGACUCAACACGGGAAAACUUACCAGGUCCAGACAUAGUAAGGAUUGACAGAUUGAGAGNNCUUUCUUGAUUCUAUGGUUGGUG